AUUGAACGCUGGCGGCAUGCCUUACACAUGCAAGUCGAACGGCAGCACGGACUUCGGUCUGGUGGCGAGUGGCGAACGGGGGAGUAAUGUAUCGGAACGUACCUUUCAGUGGGGGAUAACGUAGCGAAAGUUACGCUAAUACCGCAUAUUCUGUGAGCAGGAAAGCAGGGGAUCGAAAGACCUUGCGCUGAUUGAGCGGCCGAUAUCAGAUUAGCUAGUUGGUGGGGUAAAGGCCUACCAAGGCGACGAUCUGUAGCGGGUCUGAGAGGAUGAUCCGCCACACUGGAACUGAGACACGGUCCAGACUCCUACGGGAGGCAGCAGUGGGGAAUUUUGGACAAUGGGGGCAACCCUGAUCCAGCCAUGCCGCGUGAGUGAAGAAGGCCUUCGGGUUGUAAAGCUCUUUCGGCCGGGAAGAAAUCGCAUAGGCUAAUACCCUGUGUGGAUGACGGUACCGGAAUAAGAAGCACCGGCUAACUACGUG
rnacentral:rRNA from 1 species